GACGAACGCUGGCGGCGUGCUUAACACAUGCAAGUCGAACGGUGAAGCUCCAGCUUGCUGGAGUGGAUCAGUGGCGAACGGGUGGGUAACACGUGAGCAACCUGCCCCUGACUCUGGAAUAAGCGCUGGAAACGGCGUCUAAUACUGGAUACGAGAAGGGUCCGCAUGGGCACUUUCUGGAAAGUUUUUCGGUUGGGGAUGGGCUCGCGGCCUAUCAGCUUGUUGGUGAGGUAAUGGCUCACCAAGGCGACGACGGGUAGCCGGCCUGAGAGGGCGACCGGCCACACUGGGACUGAGACACGGCCCAGACUCCUACGGGAGGCAGCAGUGGGGAAUAUUGCACAAUGGGCGAAAGCCUGAUGCAGCGACGCCGCGUGAGGGAUGACGGCCUUCGGGUUGUAAACCUCUUUCAGCAGGGAAGAAGCGAAAGUGACGGUACCUGCAGAAGAAGCACCGGCUAACUACGUG
rnacentral:rRNA from 1 species